CCCUUAGAUGUUCUGGGCCGCACGCGUGCUACACUGAGUGGAUCAGCGGGUCAGGUUACGCGAGAGCGUUUCCUAAUCUUCAAAUCCGCUCGUGAUGGGGAUUGACGGUUGCAAUUUUCCGUCAUGAACGAGGAAUACCUUGUAAGCGCGGGUCAUCAUCCCGCGCUGAAUACGUCCCUGCCCUUUGUACACACCGCCCGUCGCUCCUACCGAUUGAGUGGUCCGGUGAGGCUUUGGGAUCUAAGCGAAAAGAGCGUUUCGCUCCUUUUGCUGGGAGAACUCAGUCGAACCUUACCAUUUAGAGGAAGGAGAAGUCGUAACA
rnacentral:rRNA from 1 species